GAAAUGCGAUAAGUAGUGUGAAUUGCAGAGUUCAGUGAAUCAUCGAAUCUUUGAACGCACAUUGCGCCCUUUGGUAUUCCAAAGGGCAUGCCUGUUCGAGCGUCAUUUGUACCCUCAAGCUUUGCUUGGUGUUGGGCGUCUUGUCUCCAGUUCGCUGGAGACUCGCCUUAAAGUAAUUGGCAGCCGGCCUACUGGUUUCGGAGCGCAGCACAAGUCGCGCUCUCUUCCAGCCAAGGUCAGCAUCCACAAAGCCUUUUUUCAACUUUUGACCUCGGAUCAGGUAGGGAUACCCGCUGAACUUAAGC
rnacentral:misc_RNA from 1 species